GAGUUUGAUCUUGGCUCAGAUUGAACGCUGGCGGCAGGCCUAACACAUGCAAGUCGAGCGGUAGAGAGAAGCUUGCUUCUCUUGAGAGCGGCGGACGGGUGAGUAAUGCCUAGGAAUCUGCCUGGUAGUGGGGGAUAACGCUCGGAAACGGACGCUAAUACCGCAUACGUCCUACGGGAGAAAGCAGGGGACCUUCGGGCCUUGCGCUAUCAGAUGAGCCUAGGUCGGAUUAGCUAGUUGGUGAGGUAAUGGCUCACCAAGGCGACGAUCCGUAACUGGUCUGAGAGGAUGAUCAGUCACACUGGAACUGAGACACGGUCCAGACUCCUACGGGAGGCAGCAGU
rnacentral:rRNA from 1 species